rnacentral:tRNA from 1 species
UCCACCGUAGCUCAGAGGUAGAGCAAUCGGCUGUUAACCGAUUGGUCGUAGGUUCGAAUCCUACCGGUGGAGCCA